rnacentral:tRNA from 1 species
GGGGGUAUAGCUCAGUGGUAGAGUGUGUGCUUAGUAUGCAGGAGGUCCUGGGUUCAAUCCCCAGUACCUCCA